rnacentral:tRNA from 1 species
CGAGCGCUUCCGCCGAGUUGCGGGUGCGGUUCGGCUUGGAGCCGAAGGCGGUGUACGUCGCGCGCCAGGCGGCGAGGUGCGGGUCCUCGUGCGGGGCC